rnacentral:misc_RNA from 1 species
AAAUUUUACUCGUCAGUUUCAUUCUAGCUACAAUCCUUUGAUACUUGUGAUACAGCUUUAAUGGCAGACAUAGUUCUAUCUCCGGUUCUGCAGGUGAUUUUUGACAGACUAGCUUCUCCAAUACUACAAAAGGCUGCUGAUGUUUGGGGUCUCAAGGAUAACUUCAAGAACCUACAACAUGCCUUGUUAAUGGCACAAGCUGUUCUUGAAGAUGCAGAAGACCAGCAAGGAACCAAUAAGGCUGUCAGAACCUGGUUGUCAAAGCUUAAGGAUGCAGCUUAUCAUGCUGAGGACCUGCUUGAUCAAAUCACAGCUCAUACAAAGAUGUCUAAAACAGUGGAAACAGACUGGAUUUUCAGCUUCUUUAGAAAAACGGAGUUUGCAUAUGCAGAAAGAUUGAGAU